rnacentral:lncRNA from 1 species
GGCUAACAAAAUUCAGCUGAUUAGGAGCUUGAAUGGGACAGCUUAAAACUUAAGUAAAUGUACUUAAAAAGAUGAAUGCAUCAGGAGACCAAUAGUCAUGUCUAGAUUCAGCCAUGACUCCUUAAAUUGGCAUCCUUUGGCUGAAUAGUGAUGAGCAUUAAAGGUGGUCUUUGAACAGCCAAAUGAGUGUGAAAAGUCAUCCUUGAAGAGUCUUCUAGGUGUGAACACGUUCAGCUGAUUGGUCUUUGGUGUGAACACCAAAUGUGAACGGUAUGAUGCUGUUUUGGGAAAUGGAUCAGCCAAACUUAGAAAAUUCAUGGGGCUGCUGUUCCUUGGCCGAAUGGUCACUUGGAAGAAAGAAAAUAGCAGCUUAAUCCUUUUAAUUACCAU